rnacentral:tRNA from 1 species
AAAGGGAGACCUAAUUCAGGUAGGAGACGAAAAAAAAAGUAGUCCCUACCAAGAAUCAAUCCCAAAAGGUCGGAACGAGGUAUGAGGCUUUCAAACUAGGUUCUGGGUUCAUAAAAGACCUGAAUCAGGAACAAGGGCUAUUAGCUCAGGUGGUUAGAGCGCACCCCUGAUAAGGGUGAGGUCCCCGGUUCGAGUCCAGGAUGGCCCACCUGCACAGGUGCAAAAACAAGAGAAGCGUGGAAUCAGCACCUUAUCUUAUAUACAUAUAUAAGAGAGAAUGCUGGCUCUGAGCACAGAGUCCAGAGGAACCUUGAAAACUGCAUAGAGCUAGGUGAAAAAGCCAAAAAAGAAGACCGCAAG